rnacentral:lncRNA from 1 species
AUGGAUUGGGGCCACAACUGCAGUCAUGUGGAUGCUGUACCAGUCCAUCAUGGUGAACAGAGAGCUGAGUAUAAAAGCAAAGAUUUCAAUUUACUGGUUGCUCUACAUCCCUACCCUCGUCUUCAAGAUCGGCUGCAGACUCACCCACCCUCUACUCACCCUGCUCACUCCUCCCCACCCCCAACAACAGCAUCCAAUACACACUCAACACAAGGCUCCAGCCUGUCUCUCUCAACCACCCAGGUUAGGAGGGAACUGAGGAGGAUUAAAGCCAGGAAGGCACCGGGUCCAGAUGGCAUCAGCUCAAGGGUCGUCAGGUCCUGCGCAGACCAACUGUGUGGGGUGAUGGAGCACCUCUUCAACCUGAGCCUGAGGCUGGGGAGAGUCCCACAGCUCUGGAAAACCUCCUGUGUUGUCCCAGUGCCAAAGACUUCACACCCCAAGGACCUCAACAGCUAUAGGCCGGUGACUCUGACAUCCCACCUGAUGAAGACCCUGGAGCGGCUGGUCCUGGCUCAGCUUCGGCGCCUGGUGAGCUCAUCACUGGACCCACGUCAGUUUGCCUACCAGCCUGGCAUUGGAGCGGAUGAUGCUGUCAUUCACCUCGUGCAACCACUGAACAUCCAAGGUAUGGACAUUGAGACUGUGGAUAGCUACAGGUACCUUGGUGUUCAUCUGAACAAUAAACUGGACUGGACUCAUAAUUCAGACGCCCUCUACAGGAAAGGGCAGAGCAGGCUGUACCUGCUGCAGAGACUCAGGUCUUUUGGAGUGAAGGGCCCACUCCUGAAGACCUUCUAUGACUCUGUGGUGGCCUCAGCUAUCUUUUACGGUGUGGUCUGCUGGGGCAGCAACAUCUCUGCCGGGGACAGGAAGAGACUGAACAGGCUGAUCCGCAGGGCCAGCUCUGUUCUAGGAUGUCCUCUGGACCCAGUGGAGGUGGUGAGUGACAGGAGAAUGGUGGCUAAGCUGUCAUCCCUGUUGGACAACAUCUCCCACCCCAUGCAGGAGACUCUGACAACACUGAGCAGCUCCUUCAGUGGCAGGCUGCGGCACCCUCGAUGUGGGACGGAGAGAUUUCGCAGGUCUUUCUUCCCCACUGCUGUCAGACUCCACAACAAAGACUUCAACUGA